AUGACCUCGCUGGUCGAGUACGUCGACCCGCGGCCAAGUCCUCCCCAUGCCACCACCGGAGGGGCCAACUCCGGCGGCCCCGGCGCCCGCGCCAUGCUGUCAUCAGGUCUCGAGUACCCCCGUAGAAGCACCCGACCCAGCGCUCGUCUCCUCGCCGGCGACCAGUCGCCACGAGCUACUCCGGCGCCUCCCCGAACGCGCCUUCUGGCCUCCCUGCUCCCUGCUCCGGUCGCUGCUUCACGACUAGGCCGACCCUACUCCACCGACAUCCUCCCGACUUGCUUCGCCUCCUGGCAGGCAACAUCAGCAUCCACCUCGCCCCUCGUUGGCCUUCGAACCCUUGCUCGACACCAAGACCGCGGCUCCUUGUCUCCGUGGACGCCAAGUUCUUUUCCAUAG
rnacentral:rRNA from 1 species